rnacentral:rRNA from 1 species
UACGUAGGGUGCAAGCGUUAAUCGGAAUACUGGGCGUAAAGCGUGCGCAGGCGGCUUUGCAAGACAGAUGUGAAAUCCCCGGGCUCAACCUGGGAACUGCAUUUGUGACUGCAAGGCUAGAGUACGGUAGAGGGGGAUGGAAUUCCGCGUGUAGCAGUGAAAUGCGUAGAUAUGCGGAGGAACACCGAUGGCGAAGGCAAUCCCCUGGACCUGUACUGACGCUCAUGCA